AUUAUGGCUACAGGUGUGGCUACAGGUGUGGCUGCUGUGUCACAGGUGUGCCAGUAGGUGGUGGAAAGGAGAGAGGCUAUGUCUACGCUCAAGAGUCCUCACCAAUGACUAUCUGAAUAAUUAGCAGCCUAACAAU